UCGUUCUCUGCCCUAGCACUGGUCUGCCAGCCGUCCAGUGCCAGCCGCCAGCUUGUUAUCGACCUGAGUCUCUGGUAUUAAGGUUUCCAGCAGCAGCUUCGUCGGGUUCUUGGUCAUCGCAGGCGAUUAGAGGAAGAGGGCGUUUCUUGAUUUCCAAUAGCUACCUCUGUUCCGACAGCAAGUUGUCUUUGCUAUGGAUUUGUUGGGCUGUGGAUUAAGGACUGUGACGCGAGAUGAGCAACUCGACGUUGGAUUUGGA